rnacentral:rRNA from 1 species
UACGUAGGGUGCAAGCGUUGUCCGGAAUUAUUGGGCGUAAAGAGCUCGUAGGCGGUCUGUCGCGUCGGCUGUGAAAUCCCGAGGCUCAACCUCGGGUCUGCGGUCGAUACGGGCAAACUAGAGUAUUGCAGGGGAGACUGGAAUUCCUGGUGUAGCGGUGAAAUGCGCAGAUAUCAGGAGGAACACCGGUGGCGAAGGCGGGUCUCUGGGCAAUAACUGACGCUGAGGAGCGAAAGCGUGGGGAGCGAACAGG